CUUCUUCUUCUUCUUCUUCUAGUAGCCAUCUUUUAGACCACUGAAGGCUACCCAUCGGCUCGUAUUGUUGAUUCUCUUCUCUGCGGUCUUGAUACAAUUGGUGGAUGUUGAUUUCCCUGUUUGCGAGUAGUUUUGAGGUCUGAAUUUGUCUGCAAAAUCUGUUACUGGGUGAACCAUGCCUAGUAGUUUGCUUCUUUUAUUAGCCAAUUUGGUUUUAUGAGCAUGACAUCCAAAGCUUGGUGUUUGAAUUUAAGGGGCACACGGGUUCAAAGGCCAGCGAGAGGUCUGUGAUUGGCAAUUAGAGUGGGUGUGUUUUCUUUCUCGUCCACUGAUACUACUAAAUCUUCUUUUGCUUGCAUUUCUAUCCUCUCCAUAGUCUGUUAUUCUUUUUAGCUUCAGUUUCCUCAAAAUUUCCUUAAUUUUGGAAUCGUUUUCUUCAGAUGUCUUCCGAUCUGCAUCCAUCGUAGAGCUAAUUUUUGUAUUUAGGGGCUGAUGUUAGAUUCAUUGCAGAAUGUAAAGUUCGUAUAAACACUCGAAGGCCCUUUGAUGUGUCCUUCGUUUAGCAGCAAAUUUCUCUUCUUUCUAAGAGUUGUUUCGUAUUUCUCUUCCAGAGGCCUUUUUCUUUGUGUCCUUUAGUGCAGCCAUGGAUUGUCGGGGUUUGAUUCGUUUUAUGGGGUUCAUUGUGUUGGUUUUUCUCAUUCUAUCUGAAGCCUGCAUGGCUGGUAUACAAACCAUUGGCAAGAUUUAUCCUGGGUUUCAAGGGUCUCAGAUGAAUUGGAUUGAUAAGAAUGGGCUAUUUCUUUUAUCUAAUAAUUCAAAUUUUGCUUUUGGCUUCAACCCUACUUCAGAUGUUACAUUAUAUCUAUUAGUUAUUAUCCACACGACAAGCUUGGAUGUUAUAUGGACUGCAAAUAGAGGCUCCCCAGUUGCAAAUUCUGAUCAAUUCUUCUUUGGUGAAGAUGGUACUGUGUCUUUACACAAGGGGGAACGUCCAGUCUGGACACCUGAUACUGGUGGUAAAAGAGUUUCUGCAAUAGAAUUGCAGGAUUCAGGAAAUCUGGUUUUGUUGGGGAAUGACAGCAGUGUAAUUUGGCAAAGCUUUAGCCAUCCAACAAACACACUAAUAUCAGACCAGGAGUUUCGAGAGGGAAUGAAACUGGUCAGUGAUCCUAGCGCCAAUAACUUGACCUAUGUUCUUGAGAUCAAGUCUGGUGACAUGAUUCUGUCUGCUGGAUUCCGAACUCCCCAGCCUUACUGGUCCAUGCAAAAUGACAAUGAUAAAACCAUCAAUAAAGCUGGUGGAACAGUCACUCUGGCAUCUCUCAAUGCAAAUUCAUGGAGAUUCUAUGACAGUAAUGAAGUGCUCUUGUGGCAAUUUAAGUUUGCAGAUGAGAAAGAUGCGAAUGCUACCUGGAUUGCAGUUGUUGAAAAUGAUGGCUUCAUUUCUUUCUACAACCUUAAUGAUGGAGGUAGUGCUUCGCAGACAAAAAUACCAAGUGAUCCGUGCAGCAGGCCAGAACCUUGUGAUGCAUAUUUUGUUUGUUCUGGUAACAAUGUUUGCCAAUGCCCUUCAGCUCUUAGUACCAGCCCAAAUUGCAAGCCAGGUAUUGUAUCUUCGUGUGAUGGUUCAAAGGGCUCUACAGCGCUUGUAAGUGCUGGCAAUGGGCUCAAUUACUUUGCACUUGGGUUUGUUCCAGCUUCUUCAAAAACUAGCUUGGAAGGUUGCCAAUCCUCUUGCCGUGAUAACUGCUCCUGUCUUGCUUUGUUCUUCCAGAACAGUACAGGGAAUUGCUUCCUUUUUGACCAAAUUGGAAGUUUCCAAGAUGCUGGCACCGGUUCCAGUGUUGUUACAUACAUUAAAGUCUUAAGUGACUCAAACAGUGGAGACACUGGAAGCAGCAAAAAAGGUUUUCCUUUUGUUGUGAUAAUUGUUGUUGCAACAGUGCUUGUCAUUUUUGGUCUACUUUAUGUGGCAUUUCGAUAUUACAAGAACAAGAAAAGAUUGCCAGCAUCUCCCCAAGAGACCUCAGAAGAUGAUAAUUUCUUGGAGGGUUUAUCUGGGAUGCCGAUUCGUUAUAGUUACAGGGAUCUUCAAACUGCAACUAACAACUUCUCAGUGAAGCUUGGACAUGGAGGAUUUGGUUCGGUUUAUGAAGGGGUUCUUCAAGAUGGAACACGACUGGCUGUGAAGAAGCUAGAAGGCAUUGGUCAGGGAAAGAAAGAAUUCCGAGCAGAAGUUAGCAUCAUUGGUAGUAUUCAUCAUCACCACUUGGUGAGGCUGAAAGGCUUCUGUGCUGAAGGAUCUCACCGCCUGCUUGCUUAUGAGUUCAUGGCAAAUGGGUCUUUGGAUAAAUGGAUCUUCAAGAGAAACAAUGAAGAUUUCCUGUUGGAUUGGAAUACAAGAUUCAAUAUUGCAUUGGGAACAGCAAAAGGCCUGGCUUAUCUCCAUGAAGACUGUGAUGUGAAGAUAAUUCAUUGUGACAUAAAACCUGAAAACGUGCUUCUUGAUAGUCACUUCAAUGCCAAAGUCUCAGAUUUUGGGUUGGCUAAGUUAAUGAAUCGAGAGCAAAGCCAUGUUUUCACGACCCUAAGAGGAACCAGGGGGUACCUUGCACCAGAAUGGAUCACAAAUUAUGCCAUAUCGGAGAAAAGUGAUGUUUAUAGCUAUGGUAUGUUGUUGCUUGAGAUUAUCGGUGGAAGGAAAAACUUUGAUCCAUCUCUUUCUUCGGAGAAAUCCCAUUUCCCAUCCUAUGCUUUUAGGAUGAUGGAAGAAGGGAAAGUGAGAGAAAUCCUUGAUUCAGAGCUGAAUUUAGACGAGAAUGACAAGAGGGUCUCCACUGCAAUUAAAGUUGCAUUGUGGUGUGCGCAGGAAGAUAUGCAUCUAAGGCCACCAAUGCCUAAAGUUGUCCAAAUGCUUGAAGGUCUCUGCCCUGUUCAUCAACCACCAAUUUCUUCCCCGUUGGGUUUUCGCCUUCAUUCCAGUUUGUUUAAAUCAAUAAGCGAGGAGGGCACUUCCUCAGGACCUUCGGACUGCAAUAGUGACGCCUACCUUUCUUCUGUGCAGCUUUCUGGCCCAAGAUAGGAGUUCACAGUUUGGGGAAUUGUUGUUUAGAUUUAUAGAGUUGAACUAAUCAUGUAUACUUCUCCUACAAUAUUCCUGUAUAUUAGCUAGACUAGGAAAGUUUUGUAAUACUAGCAAUUAGCUUGUCACUUGUUUCUGCACUCAUUCUUGCUCUGUAAAUGGUGCUGAUUAUGACAAAAAAGUGACGCACAAUGAGCAUAUUUCUGAUUCAAAACCGCAUCUUGAUUCUGAAAGUUGUUAUGAAAA
rnacentral:misc_RNA from 1 species